UACAUGGGGUGCAAACGUUGCUCGGAAUUAUUGGGCGUAAAGCGCGCGUAGGCGGUUACUCAAGUCGGAUGUGAAAGCCCUCGGCUUAACUGAGGAAGUGCACCCGAAACUGAGUAGCUAGAGUACUAAAGAGGGUCGCGGAAUUCCCGGUGUAGAGGUGAAAUUCGUAGAUAUCUGGAGGAACACCGGUGGCGAAGGCGGCAUCCUGGACCGGCAUUGACGCUGAGGCGCGAAAGCCAGGGGAGCAAACGGG
rnacentral:rRNA from 1 species